rnacentral:rRNA from 1 species
CUCUAAUAGAAAUAAUUAUUAGUAAAAUCUGCUCAAUGAAUAAUUAAAUAGCCGCAGAUUUCUGUGCUAAGGUAGCAUAAUCAUUUGUCUAUUAAUUCUAGACUAGAAUGAAAGAUUUAACAUUUAAAAUAUUUUCUAAAUUUUAAUAUAUUUAAAUUAUUUUAAAUAUUAAAAAAUAUUUAUAAUUUAGAAAGACGACAAGACCCUAUUGAACUUAACUUAAGUUUAACUGGGGCAGUUAAUUAAUUAAAAUUUUAAUUAAAAUUUAUUAAUAAAUUAGACCUAAUAUAAUUAAUUAAAUAAACAAGUUACCAUAGGGAUAACAGCGCAAUAAUUUUUUUAAGAUCUUAUAAAAAAAAUAAAUUACGACCUCGAUGUUGAAUAAUUAUCUAUUAAAAGCAAAAAUUUAUAUAAGAAAGUCUGUUCGACUUUUAAUUAAUUACA